CAGCCGCAGAACUCUGUGCUAAGGUAGCAUAAUCAUUUGUCUUCUAAUUAAAGACUAGCAUGAAAGGCAAAACGAAUAAAAAAUUUUAUUAUUAUAACUCAAUUAAAUUAAACUUUUCGUAAAAAUGCAAAAAUAAAACAAAAAGACGACAAGACCCUGUUGAACUUAACCACCGUUAAACUGGGGCAGUUUUUUUAUAAAAAUUCUAAUAUUAAUAAAAAUAAACUAUACUUAACAGAAAAGAAAAAGUUACCACAGGGAUAACAGCGCAAUUUUUUUCUAAAGCUCUUAUACAAAAAAAAGAUUACGACCUCGAUGUUGAAUUAAUUAAUCAAGAAAAAGCAAAAUUUUUCAAGAAAGUCUGUUCGACUUUUUAAUAAUUACAUGAUCUG
rnacentral:rRNA from 1 species